rnacentral:rRNA from 1 species
GACGAACGCUGGCGGCGUGCUUAACACAUGCAAGUCGAACGGAAAGGCCCCCUUGUGGGGUACUCGAGUGGCGAACGGGUGAGUAACACGUGAGUAACCUACCCUUGACUUUGGGAUAACUUCAGGAAACUGGGGCUAAUACCGGAUAGGAGCUCCUGCUGCAUGGUGGGGGUUGGAAAGUUUCGGCGGUUGGGGAUGGACUCGCGGCUUAUCAGCUUGUUGGUGGGGUAGUGGCUCACCAAGGCUUUGACGGGUAGCCGGCCUGAGAGGGUGACCGGCCACAUUGGGACUGAGAUACGGCCCAGACUCCUACGGGAGGCAGCAGUGGGGAAUAUUGCACAAUGGGCGGAAGCCUAAUGCAGCAACGCCGCGUGCGGGAUGACGGCCUUCGGGUUGUAAACCGCUUUCGCCUGUGACGAAGCGUGAGUGACGGUAAUGGGUAAAGAAGCACCGGCUAACUACGUG